UGAAUCAAAAGAGUAAAGAAAAUCCAUACAAAGAGGAUUCAGUCAUAAGAUGCUACCAAAAAGGUGAAUGUGGCAGGGAAAAAAAACAGUAAUAAAGUCCUUUUGUUUUGUUUUGUUUUGUUUUUUUUUUCUAUUUUUUUCCUUCUUUUUGUUGCUCUCUCUGUAGCAACUGCUCAAGGGAACCAGUCCUCUCUCUCUCUCUCUCUCAUCUCCCUUCAUCAAAAUCGAAUCUUGGUUGAAGAAGGAGAUCAAAGGAUCCGAAUCACACCAGAUCGAUUUGGGAUUAUUGUAGAAGAAAGAUUGAAUUUUGGGUGUGAUUUAGGUUUUGAAUCGGAUUUCUUCAUCUGGGUUUUUUCAUUUUGGAGGAAAAGGUGGGAUCUUUGUUCAUGUUUGUUAUGGAUGGGAGUGAAGAUUUUCUUUUUAAGGGAUGAAAGUUUCAGCCUUUGCUAUGAUCUUUGACGUGCAAUGGUUAUGCAGAUCUUAGAAUUUCUAAUUCUGGUAAAGGCAGCUUUUAAGUUUUGGAUGGAGUUUCAAUAAAAUUAUCUUGAAAUUGUCAAAAGAUCUGCCAGUUUGAGAAAUGUUGGAAGAGCUGAGGCAGUUGUAUCAUAUUGAAGGUCUCUCUCUGGUUGAAUUGAAGUAUACUGGACUCAAAUUUUAGACUGUAAAGUUUGAAAUCUCCUCUCAUUUUCAUUGCAUUUUUUGAGAGUAUGAUCAAGCAAAUAUUAGGCCGGCUCCCCAAAAAGGCAUCAAAAUCAUCGGAGCAUCGGGAUGCGGGCGGUGGGUCUGGUUCCUCGCUAGCAAACUUUUCAAGAGGUGGAGAUUUAUUGAGCACUAGAGCAAGCGUUCAGGGACAUAAUCACGGUAAACAGAACCAUCCACAAUUAAGCUCGAAAACAAAUGGCAACUCGGCAACUCCUUAUGAAACCCUCCCAAGCUUUAGAGAUGUCCCGAGCUCUGAAAAGCCCAAUUUGUUUAUCAAGAAACUCAAUUUGUGUUGUGUUGUAUUCGAUUUCAUAGACCCAAGUAAACACUUGAAAGAGAAGGAGGUGAAACGGCAGACAUUGCUAGAGCUUGUUGAUUAUGUUUCAACCUCAAAUGGGAAAUUUUCUGAGUAUAUGAUGCAAGAAAUCAUCAAAAUGGUGUCGAUAAACAUAUUUAGGACCCUAAUUUCUCCGCCUCGUGAAAAUAAAGUUUUGGAAGCUUUUGAUGUCGAAGAGGAUGAGCCCGUAAUGGAUCCUUCAUGGCCACAUUUGCAGAUUGUUUACGAGUUCUUUCUAAAAUUUAUUACAUCUCCAGAAACCGAUGCCAAGUUGGCAAAGAGAUAUAUAGACCAUUCCUUUAUUAUUCGGUUGCUAGAUCUCUUUGACUCAGAAGACCCUAGAGAGAGGGAGUAUUUAAAGACGAUACUUCAUCGCAUAUAUGGUAAGUUUAUGGUGCACCGUCCGUUCAUCAGGAAAUCCAUCAAUAACAUUUUCUACCGGUUCAUUUUUGAGACAGAAAAGCACAAUGGAAUUGCCGAGCUUUUGGAGAUUUUGGGAAGUAUUAUUAAUGGGUUCGCUCUUCCACUUAAGGAAGAGCAUAAACUGUUCCUUGUUAGAGCGUUGAUUCCACUACACAAGCCUAAGUGCAUACCCAUGUACCAUCAACAGUUAUCAUAUUGUAUUUCUCAGUUUGUUGAGAAAGACUGCAAGCUCGCAGAUACUGUUAUAAGGGGAUUGCUGAAGUACUGGCCUAUAACAAAUAGCUCAAAGGAAGUGAUGUUCUUAGGAGAGUUGGAGGAGGUUUUGGAGGCAACUCAGCCUGCUGAGUUUCAGCGAUGUAUGGUUCCUCUUUUCCGGCAAAUUGCCCGUUGCUUAAAUAGUCCCCACUUUCAGGUGGCAGAGAGAGCGUUGUUUUUAUGGAACAAUGAUCACAUUGAGAAUCUAAUCAAACAAAACCAUAAGGUGAUUUUACCAAUUAUAUUCCCUGCAUUAGAGAGAAACAUAAAGGGUCAUUGGAAUCAAGCUGUUCAGGGCCUCACUCUAAAUGUCCGCAAGAUUUUCUCCGACUAUGACGCCACUUUCUUCGAGGAGUGCAUGAAGAAAUUCAACGAAGACGAAGCUAAAGAGAAGGAAGCCAAAUCAAAACGCGAAAACACAUGGAAGCGUCUGGAAGAAAUUGCCGCCUCGAAAAGCGGGAGCAACGAGCCCGCGCUCGUUGCCCGUGGCAAACCUAACCGAUCUUCUGGCUGAAACAAUAGUUGUAUUAGAGCUCGGUAUUCUCAAUCCCGUAACAGGAUUAUAGGUCUUGGCUUGGUUGAUAUGAGAACGGGUUAAUUGCACAUAGACCCCUGUAGUAUUGCUGUCCUGAACUUACUACCCCUGUAGUCUCAUUGCUGCAGGUAACCCCCCUACCGGGUUAUAAAAUUUGGCAGAUACUGCUCCCGUGUGAAAUUCGUGAGUCUAUCUGAGGGUAAACGAGUCAAAAUUUUUAGCUGAGGAAUAAAUCUGCAACAGUCAAACCACAGGGGUAGUAAGUUUGAAACAACGAUACUACAAAGGGGUCUCUGCAAUCAACCCCAUGGAGGUCCUUCUGCAUGUUGAUUGAGGGUUUGAAGGAUUCAGGACAGUGUACAGGUUAAGCUGUAUAUAUGGGAAAAAUUGAAAGCAGCAGCUGGGGGUUUAAAACAGCAGAGAACGAUCCACUGAGUUCUGGAGUUGGUUACUCAUUCGAUUAUCUGAAAUAGUUGUUACUAUCCUGUGAACUUGGGGUUUGAUCUUCGGAGUGCGGAGAUCGGAAUAGGAGAGCGUCAAUCCCCAGCAGGGUCCGAGAUCGUCAAGGAGAUCGUCAAUCCUCAACGGGUUCCAUUGAGUAGACAUUGUUCGAUUAGCCGUCGACAGAAAUUAUUUUGAUGUUAGUGGAUAUGAGACCAAUUUUGGUGAUUCAGGAAUCUUAAUCUUACAUUAUGUCAUGCCCAUUGAUGGACUUUAAUUUGAUUUUUUUCUAUUAAACAAUUUUUUUUUUA